rnacentral:lncRNA from 1 species
GGCCAGUUGGUAAGGAAGGCUUCAUGCUUAGCAAGGGAUUUUAGUCAGCAACAUAUUAAUAGGACUCUGUUGAGGCACUAGGAUUGUUUCCAAUCUCCUUCUCACAACUCCACAAAUAUACUUGUGUUGUGGCUGCUCCAACCCUCGGGGUCCUCAAAACUGGAUGAGUUAUUAGAGCAGGGGGCAAACAAUUGAAAUGUUGGAUCAUUCAUCUGUUCCUCAAGCUGAACUUACGAUAGUUUGGUUGGGUAUUUACAUAGCCAUCUAUGAGAUACAGGCAUCCAAUCUAUGGGUAGAAGGUAUUUUUUAACUGUAAUUAAAUGGAUUAACAACCCUUAUCUAUGCAGGACUCAUUACCACCCACUUCUUAAUGAUAUUUGGCAUUGGAGGACAUCCAUUCAUUGAUUGAUAGUGUCUUAUGUUUAUUGGGAAGCCAAUCAAGCUGCGGAUUGUUAUCCAAGGCAGCUCUAUAUGUGGAGGUUAACUUUAAUUAUAAUGAUAGUUUGCCGGUUGCUUUAGUUGAUAUUGUGAAGGCUGAUUUCAGAAAUGUGCAGUUCAUUAAGAAAAUCUGAUGGUC